rnacentral:rRNA from 1 species
GAUCCUGGCUCAGAUUGAACGCUGGCGGCAUGCUUUACACAUGCAAGUCGAACGGGGUUGGGAGCUUGCUUCCAAUCUAGUGGCGAACGGGUGAGUAAUACAUCGGAACGUACCGUGUAGUGGGGAUAACGUAGCGAAAGUUACGCUAAUACCGCAUACGAUCCACGGAUGAAAGCAGGGGACCUUCGGGCCUUGUGCUAUACGAGCGGCCGAUGUCUGAUUAGCUAGUUGGUGAGGUAAAAGGCUCACCAAGGCGACGAUCAGUAGCGGGUCUGAGAGGAUGAUCCGCCACACUGGGACUGAGACACGGCCCAGACUCCUACGGGAGGCAGCAGUGGGGAAUUUUGGACAAUGGGCGCAAGCCUGAUCCAGCCAUGCCGCGUGUCUGAAGAAGGCCUUCGGGUUGUAAAGGACUUUUGUCAGGGAGCAAAACUUACUGGUUAAUACCUGGUGAGGUUGAGAGUACCUGAAG